UAGGGAAUUUUCCACAAUGGGCGAAAGCCUGAUGGAGCAACACCGCGUGCAGGACGAAGGCCUUCGGGUUGUAAACUGCUUUUAUCUGUGAUGAUUAUGACAGUAACAGAAGAAUAAGGGUCUGCUAACUACGUGCCAGCAGCCGCGGUCAUACGUAGGACCCAAGCGUUAUCCGGAAUUACUGGGCGUAAAGAGUUGCGUAGGUGGCAAAGUAAGUGGACAGUGAAAGCGUGUGGCUCAACCAUACAAACAUUGUCUAAACUGCUUAGCUAGAGCACAAGAGAGGUAGCUGGAAUUUCCAGUGUAGGAGUGAAAUCCGUAGAUAUUGGAAGGAACACCGAUGGCGUAAGCAGGCUACUGGCUUGUUGCUGACACUCAGGCACGAAAGCGUGGGGAGCGAACAGG
rnacentral:rRNA from 1 species